rnacentral:rRNA from 1 species
UCAGGAUGAACGCUGGCGGCGUGCCUUAGGCAUGCAAGUCGAACGGGAUCUAGCUUGCUAGAUUCAGUGGCGGAAGGGUGAGUAACACGUGGGAACGUACCCGUUGGUGGAGGAUAGCUUACCGAAAGGUGAGGUAAUACUCCGUAAUCCCGUAAGGGAAUAGCACUUAACCGUGCGCCGAUGGAGCGGCCUACGUCCUAUCAGCUUGUUGGUGAGGUAAUGGCUCACCAAGGCAAUGACGGGUAGCUGGGCUGAGAGGUCGGCCAGCCACAAUGGAACUGAGACACGGUCCAUACAUCUACGGAUGGCAGCAACCGGGAAUCUUGGACAAUGGGGGAAACCCUGAUCCAGCGACGCCGCGUGGGGGAUGAAGGCCUUCGGGUUGUAAACUCCUUUUGCCGAUCAUAAUGAUCGGAGAAUAAGCACCUGCAAACUACGUGCCAGCAGCCGCGGUGAUACGUAGGGUGCGAGCGUUAUCCGGAUUUACUGGGCGUAAAGGGUUGCGUAGGCGGAAUACUGCGUCAAAACUGAAAUUCUCUCGCUCAACGAGAGGCACGGUUUUGAUACGGGUAUUCUUAGAGGCUUUCAGAGGUAACUGGAACUUGCAGUGGAGCGGUGAAAUGCGUUGAUAUUGCAAGGAACACCAAAGGCGUAGGCAGGUUACUGGGAAAGUUCUGACGCUGAUGCACGAAAGCUAGGGGAGCGAAUGGGAUUAGAGACCCCAGUAGUCCUAGCCGUAAACGAUGGAUACUAGAUGAGCUCAUUUAUGGGCUUGUCGCAAGCUAACGCGUUAAGUGUCCCGCCUGGGAAGUACGGCCGCAAGGCUAAAACUCAAAGGAAUUGACGGGGGCCCGCACAAGCGGUGGAGCAUGUGGUUCAAUUCGAAACAAAGCGAAAAACCUUACCAGGGUUUGACAUCCUAGCUGCACUCCGGC